rnacentral:lncRNA from 1 species
GAUGAAUUUAUAUAAUGAUAAAAAUUAUAAUAAGUGCUAAGGAUAAAAUAUUUAAUCAUGUAAAUGUUAACACCUAUUAUUUAUCAUUAUUUUGCUAGCAUUAGGCUAAGUUAAUUGGUACUUAGAUCGCACUUUUGUGCUCUCAUUACAUCUCCCUAACUAGCUUAUUGCUAGUCUCUAGCAAUUAACGAGCAAAUAAUAAAAUGAGAGUGCAAAAGAUGUGGUCUAACCUAUGAUGUUUUAUUAGAAUUAAUUGCAUAAAAUUAAGAUAAGUACUCACUUUCGUAGGAAUCACGAUUGCACUUAGCACGUGCAACAAGCCGUUAAACCUCUAGGUUACCCUAGUGGACGAGUGUUGUCUCGUGAGGGUUUUCAGGGAUGUUACCCACAAACAUUAUGAGUUAUAAUACAUGAGAUUCUAAUAGAAAUAUGAAAUAAAUCUUAAGCUAAUACACAUGUAAUUAAUUGAUAUAUAUUUUCAAGCAUGGCAACUGUCAAAGCAAGGAAAUAUAAAAGUGUAGUGUGCAUCAAAUCGCAUGACUUUCUCAGAGUACUAAUACCUCCACCACAACAGGGCACCGCUUGAGUUUUAGGUGCACUACUCAAGUUCAAAAGUAUUUUCUACAAUUUAUUAGAACCUGAUCCAUCAAAUUUUCAGAAUAUCACAUGUUGUCUAAAUUUGUCAAGAAUGGUUCGCAUGUAAAGAAAGAGCUAUCAAUCUCAACUAAACAACCCGGGUACACAGAGGUUCAAUACAAUGGAGUCAAACCAGCCAUUACCACAUGUCACUAGGUUCAGCCUAACCAACUCAUUCAUGCUUAUUUUUAUUUCUUUUUUUUUCUUUCAAUACACAUGACAACUACAGCUAUCCAACCCCAUUAGGCUCUAGUAAGGUCCAUGUAGCGAGCUUUCAGUCAAUGACCCCCGAUCCAGUUGGCUCAAGACAUUAGGUGAAACACCCCUCGGACUUAAUUACUCGAACCAGACUAUGCCACGAGGUCAGACUUGUCAUCAUAAGUAUUAUAUUUUUUUUUUGAAUAAUAAUUAUGCAAGAAAAGAAAUGGUAGACUGAACCAUAUAAAUAUUUUUAUUAUAUAUGUGACUGCAUCGUGACUAUAGGUCAACCAAAGUCGGAUCAUAAGGCACCUAAGUAAUCUAGUCGGGAUAUUCA